rnacentral:rRNA from 1 species
AUGAACGCUGGCGGCGUGCCUAAUACAUGCAAGUCGAGCGAACGGACGAGAAGCUUGCUUCUCUGAUGUUAGCGGCGGACGGGUGAGUAACACGUGGAUAACCUACCUAUAAGACUGGGAUAACUUCGGGAAACCGUAGCUAAUACCGGAUAAUAUUUUGAACCGCAUGGUUCAAAAGUGAAAGACGGUCUUGCUGUCACUUAUAGAUGGAUCCGCGCUGCAUUAGCUAGUUGGUAAGGUAACGGCUUACCAAGGCAACGAUGCAUAGCCGACCUGAGAGGGUGAUCGGCCACACUGGAACUGAGACACGGUCCAGACUCCUACGGGAGGCAGCAGUAGGGAAUCUUCCGCAAUGGGCGAAAGCCUGACGGAGCAACGCCGCGUGAGUGAUGAAGGUCUUCGGAUCGUAAAACUCUGUUAUUAGGGAAGAACAUAUAUGUAAGUAACUGUGCACAUCUUGACGGUACCUAAUCAGAAAGCCACGGCUAACUACGUG